UACAGAGGGUGCGAGCGUUAAUCGGAGUGACUGGGCGUAAAGGGCGCGUAGGCGGUUAGAUUAGUCUGAUGUGAAAGACCUGGGCUUAACCUGGGAUGUGCAUUGGAGACGGUCUAGCUAGAGUUUGAGAGAGGGAAGUGGAAUUUCCGGUGUAGCGGUGAAAUGCGUAGAGAUCGGAAGGAACACCUGUGGCGAAAGCGGCGCACUGGACCACAACUGACGCUGAGGCGCGAAAGCUAGGGGAGCAAACAGG
rnacentral:rRNA from 1 species